GUCAAGCUAAGUUUCCUGAAAGUUAUUUUAUUUUAGCAAUGCCUUAUUUUACUUAAAAGGAAAUUCAAUAGGCCAACCAAUCGUUUAAAGAGAUCUACAUUUAAAUGCAUCUGCGAUAUCCUUAAGGAUACAAUGACAGGAUACAUUCUAGAAUCAGGUAGAAAACUAGUAGGAUUCGGGCUUAGCGACCCUUUUCCUCAAAUGGAGGGUGGUUUUGUAGCAUAGUGAUGCAUAAACGCGUGAGAAACCAGCCCGAGUCACGUAGUCCGAUGUGUAGUAUAGUGUGCUCGCUCCAACCCCAACCCCAAUGCCAAAGACCCGAGAGACUGGCAGAUGUUUCCCGAAGCCAGCCAGCGGGUAUAAAUAGGGCCGCCUUUUUCGGAGAACGUCACUAUCAAAUAAAAAGUGUUCAAGUGUAGUCACAGUGUAGCUGAAGUAAAAACUAAUUUAAAUAGUACAGAGAAAUUUCCACUCUUGCAAUUGGCAAGCAGUAGUUUUUGUAUCCUGAAAUGGAAAAGUGUGAAAAUCGUGUCGCUGAGGAGGAGCAGCAGGAGGAGAAUUGCAAAAUUUCGGAAGGGCCCACGUAGAAUUCGAUCCACGUUGGGCGUUAUUUGCUCUCGAGUUGGAAACAAAGAAACCCAGAAAUCCACUGGAAAGACGUGAAUUAGUCAUCGAUUUUGCUGGUCAGCGUCGGGGAAUUUCGCAAUGCGGCAGGCAGUGGCAGUUUUUGGCGUUGCAGAGGCAGAGUUUCUCGAGUUUGGCUAGAAAGUGGAACCCUAGGCAGUCUAAGGCAGAACCAGGAUGUCCGGAUGUCCACUCCCUAUUGGUCGAUAAGGCGAUGGCCCUGACCUGCGGACUUGAGAAAAUUGGGAUAGGAAGCCAGUUGGGCGUUGAAAGUUGAUAUCGAUCCGCGAAAUGUCGAUACCCUGCGCGAGCAUGGGUCGGCAUAUGGGUGUUGAAAAUGCACUCGGCCCGAUUGCAGCGUUUUUCGAAAGCUGCGUCUGCGACCUCGACUGGGAUUAAAUACCCGUAUCCGUAUAUAUCCAAUGUCAAAAGGUCGCGGACCAGCCAGGGUGCUCGAUUCGGUCAGAUUGAGUGUGCGGAUUGUGUUAUAGGAACACUGGUGUAUCGACUUCUCUGCUCCACUAAGGGUGAAUGAAUGGUGACCGGUGACCUACCGAUGGGCCCUCACUUGCUUACUAUCAUCGAACAGUUCCGUAACUUGGCAGCGUAUUGAAUCCGUUCAAUGACACAUCGUCUCUGGAUUAGAAACCGAUCCGACAAGGUCGGAUACCCCGCCAGUCGGUUGUAAAUACUAUAUUUGUUCUUAUGUUCAGUUGUAAAGUCAAUACGGAAGAUACUUAUGUACUUCCACACCAACAAUGUGUCACUUUUGUUCUUAAAUACCAGAAACUGUUUUUAAUUUUUUGUUUUGUACACUUCACGAAUUAAGAAUUACCUGUACUGAUGUAAUUUAACUUGUCCAACCACAACAAAAAUGCAAAAAAUGAAUAUCAAAAGAGCUCGAUAAUGGAAGAAGCCACAGAAAAAGUGAAUAAAAAAUUCAAAAGUUCCAAAAAUAAAUUUCGAAACAUUU